AAGGAUUCCCUUAGUAACGGCGAGUGAACAGGGAAAAGCCCAGCACCGAAGCCUGUGGUCGUUUGAUCACUAGGCAAUGUGGUGUUCAGGUCGUUCCGCAGGGACACUGCUCCACCCUAAGUCCGGCAAUGAACACGGUAGUACGGACAUGGCCCGCAGAGGGUGAAAGGCCCGUGUGGGUGGAGAUUCGAUGUGCCAGUGUCUCUCUGGGUAGACCUUGGAGUCGGGUUGUUUGUGAAUGCAGCCCAAAGUGGGUGGUAAACUCCAUCCAAGGCUAAAUACAUACACGAGUCCGAUAGUAAACAAGUACCGUGAGGGAAAGUUGAAAAGUACUUUGAAGAGAGAGUAAACAGUGCGUGAAGCCGCUCAGAGGUAAACGGAUGGAGGUGAACUGCUGGCUUUGAGAAUUCAGCUGUCAAGUAUGGUUUGGACUUGGUCAAACUGGCUGAACGUCGUGGUCUGCGUGGUAGCAGGUCUCCGUCUCUGACGGAGGUGCGCGAUACGCUCAUCAUGCGUUGCGCGCCACGUGGUUCAUCGAGCCGGCUUGUCAGUGCACUUUCUCUAAGCACUCACCAUGACUGGCACUACUGCCCGGCUGUCGGGGUUAAACCGGUCAUUCGUCGUCCUUGCGACAACGUUUGGUUGGGAUGGCAGAUAACUCGCUGGCUUGUCUGCGCUCCGUCGCAGGCGUUCAGUCCUCGGGUACAAUCAGCCGACCCUGAUGGUUCUGUGCAGUGUGUCAAGGACGGCGGCUAGCGGUGUGUGCACGUGCGCCUGACCGGUUGGCGUGUUCGAGUUUGGUCGUCAUGUUGCCUGUCAAAGCAGGCCUGUCGAUGGCUUGAGCUCGUCCGACCGGCGGUAGUACGUGUAACACCUCACCAAGGGCCAAAAGUCUGUGGUGUUGCGGUAUAUUAUCCAUCCGACCCGUCUUGAAACACGGACCAAGGAGAGUAACAUUUGCGCGAGUUAUUGGGCGUUACGAAACCCAAAGGCACAGUGAAAGUGAAGCUCUGGCUUGUCCGGAGUGUGGUGAGAUCCUGCCCUGUCUCAUGCAUGGUGCUACCAAGUAUCGAGGGGUAGGCGCAUCACCGGCCCGUCCCAGUACAAUUGCUCUCGUGCGUUUAUCAGUCGGGGCGGAGCAUGAGCGCAGAUGUUGAGACCCGAAAGAUGGUGAACUAUGCUUGCGCAGGUUGAAGCCAGAGGAAACUYUGGUGGAGGACCGAAGCGGUUCUGACGUGCAAAUCNAUCGCCAGACGUGAGUAUAGGGG
rnacentral:rRNA from 1 species